rnacentral:rRNA from 1 species
GGGGCCCUACGGGACGCAGCAGUGAGGAAUAUUGGUCAAUGGGCGCGAGCCUGAACCAGCCAAGUAGCGUGAAGGAUGACUGCCCUACGGGUUGUAAGCUUCUUUUAUAAAGGAAUAAAGUGAGGCACGUGUGCCUUUUUGUAUGUACUUUAUGAAUAAGGAUCGGCUAACUCCGUGCCAGCAGCCGCGGUAAUACGGAGGAUCCGAGCGUUAUCCGGAUUUAUUGGGUUUAAAGGGAGCGUAGAUGGGUUGUUAAGUCAGUUGUG